CUUUAAGGUAAUCAUUCUGAAGCCUAUCCACCUUCAAGGCCAAGUUUUGUUGGCCAUGUCUACCACCAACCGACUUGUGGCUCAUCUUCAAGAACCAUUCAUAAUUCAGCCUGCCUUCCGGUUUAUCUCUGAAACAUGCUGACAGCAGCUUGCUACGUAGAGGACUAUGGAACGUACAGGCAAUGCAUUGGUUUGUGUUGGCGUUAAUAUUCCAGUACCUCGUGUUGGGCAGUGUGUAACGGGGCCGCCCCUCCUCUUUGUUGGCUCUGUGAGCCUCUUUUCUUGCGCUCAUCCAUCAAGCACAGCUGCACGAAAAAUGACAAAAUGGCUCGCUUUGUAGUGUACCUUGGAGUAUUCACUUAUCGACCUCUUAUUUCGUUGGUAUCACCACAAGAUUUAAGUUUGGUCAAGCAAAAAAUUUUUUCUUUGGAGGAAUUUUUACAAAAGUUUCUUAGUCCGCCCUCCUGAAGGCCACAUGUGACAAUCAGCCCCUUCAUGGUCACAAUAAAAUCCACAAACGCUCUUUAAACAUGGCAUCCAUCCUACUUUGGUGCAGCCAAUGCAUAUACAUCAUCUGAACACAGCUGGAGGAGCAUCUUCUAUCAAUCCAUAGAAAACGCAUGACUACUUGGAAUACAGUCGUCCAUCUGUUCAAUCCUUCAUAUGUCAUAUGUCCUUCAUAUGUCCUACCACACAAACUCCCAACGAGACAAAUUUAUUGACUUUUAACGGAACUCUGCGCAGACCCGGCUUGAACACCUAUUAACUUCUGAUAUUUCAAUAAUUUAUUUGAAUGUAUGAAGUGAAGUCCAUUCUUAUGGAAAUGAUAUAUUUAAUUAUUUCUUCAUUUAUUUUGAUAAAUAUAAACUUUAUUACAAUAUCAAGUUAUUAUUUAAAUUCACUGAACAUAUUAAUAUAGAUGUUUUUCAUUUUAAAGUAUUUUUUAAUAUAGACUUCCAAAGGAUCAAGAUUGAGCUUCAUUCAUUUUAAUACAUUACAUCAAUGCUUGUGACUUCUGCUUAGCCAUAUUUAUUACUCAUGCUUUUCCAAUCUUGUCGAUAGACGAGACAUUUGCUAAAUUAGAGAAACAUGCCAGUUCGAUUGAUGUACAAUAUUCUGAAUUAUAUUGUCAACAGUAUCAUUCUUGUAUCAUCAACAGUGCACCCUUGAACUUUAACGCUGUGUAAAUACUUGCUUCUCUCAAUAAAUGAUUUAUUCA
rnacentral:lncRNA from 1 species